rnacentral:rRNA from 1 species
UACGAAGGGGGCUAGCGUUGUUCGGAAUCACUGGGCGUAAAGCGCACGUAGGCGGAUCUUUAAGUCAGGGGUGAAAUCCCGAGGCUCAACCUCGGAACUGCCUUUGAUACUGGGGAUCUCGAGUCCGGGAGAGGUGAGUGGAACUGCGAGUGUAGAGGUGAAAUUCGUAGAUAUUCGGAAGAACACCAGUGGCGAAGGCGGCUCACUGGACUGGUAUUGACGCUGAGGUGCGAAAGCGUGGGGAGCAAACAGG